CGGACAGAAGGGAGCUUGCUUCCCCGGAUGUUAGCGGCGGACGGGUGAGUAACACGUGGGUAACCUGCCUGUAAGACUGGGAUAACUCCGGGAAACCGGAGCUAAUACCGGAUAGUUCCUUGAACCGCAUGGUUCAAGGAUGAAAGACGGUUUCGGCUGUCACUUACAGAUGGACCCGCGGCGCAUUAGCUAGUUGGUGGGGUAAUGGCUCACCAAGGCGACGAUGCGUAGCCGACCUGAGAGGGUGAUCGGCCACACUGGGACUGAGACACGGCCCAGACUCCUACGGGAGGCAGCAGUAGGGAAUCUUCCGCAAUGGACGAAAGUCUGACGGAGCAACGCCGCGUGAGUGAUGAAGGUUUUCGGAUCGUAAAGCUCUGUUGUUAGGGAAGAACAAGUGCGAGAGUAACUGCUCGCACCUUGACGGUACCUAACCAGAAAGCCACGGCUAACUACGUGCCAGCAGCCGCGGUAAUACGUAGGUGGCAAGCGUUGUCCGGAAUUAUUGGGCGUAAAGGGCUCGCAGGCGGUUUCUUAAGUCUGAUGUGAAAGCCCCCGGCUCAACCGGGGAGGGUCAUUGGAAACUGGGAAACUUGAGUGCAGAAGAGGAGAGUGGAAUUCCACGUGUAGCGGUGAAAUGCGUAGAGAUGUGGAGGAACACCAGUGGCGAAGGCGACUCUCUGGUCUGUAACUGACGCUGAGGAGCGAAAGCGUGGGGAGCGAACAGGAUUAGAUACCCUGGUAGUCCACGCCGUAAACGAUGAGUGCUAAGUGUUAGGGGGUUUCCGCCCCUUAGUGCUGCAGCUAACGCAUUAAGCACUCCGCCUGGGGAGUACGGUCGCAAGACUGAAACUCAAAGGAAUUGACGGGGGCCCGCACAAGCGGUGGAGCAUGUGGUUUAAUUCGAAGCAACGCGAAGAACCUUACCAGGUCUUGACAUCCUCUGACAACCCUAGAGAUAGGGCUUUCCCUUCGGGGACAGAAUGACAGGUGGUGCAUGGUUGUCGUCAGCUCGUGUCGUGAGAUGUUGGGUUAAGUCCCGCAACGAGCGCAACCCUUGAUCUUAGUUGCCAGCAUUUAGUUGGGCACUCUAAGGUGACUGCCGGUGAC
rnacentral:rRNA from 1 species